rnacentral:rRNA from 1 species
CGGGGGGAGCAAGCGUUGUUCGGAUUUACUGGGCGUAAAGGGCGCGUAGGCGGCCACCGCAAGUCGACUGUGAAAUCUCCGGGCUUAACCCGGAAAGGUCAGCCGAUACUGCGGGGCUAGAGUGCAGAAGGGGCAACUGGAAUUCUCGGUGUAGCGGUGAAAUGCGUAGAUAUCGAGAGGAACACCUGCGGCGAAGGCGGGUUGCUGGGCUGACACUGACGCUGAGGCGCGAAAGCUAGGGGAGCGAACGGGAUUAGAUACCCCGGUAGUCCUAGCCUUAAACGAUGAAUGCUUGGUGUCUGGGGUUUUAUAGUCCCCGGGUGUCGUCGCUAACGCUUUAAGCAUUCCGCCUGGGGAGUACGGUCGCAAGACUG